rnacentral:rRNA from 1 species
UACGUAGGGUGCGAGCGUUGUCCGGAAUUAUUGGGCGUAAAGGGCUCGUAGGCGGUUUGUCGCGUCGGGAGUGAAAACCAGGUGCUUAACACCUGGCUUGCUUUCGAUACGGGCAGACUAGAGGUAUUCAGGGGAGAACGGAAUUCCUGGUGUAACGGUGAAAUGCGCAGAUAUCAGGAGGAACACCGGUGGCGAAGGCGGUUCUCUGGGAAUGACCUGACGCUGAGGAGCGAAAGUGUGGGGAGCGAACAGG